rnacentral:rRNA from 1 species
GAUGAACGCUGGCGGCGUGCCUAACACAUGCAAGUCGAACGGAGUCGUUUUGGGAAUCUCUUCGGAGAUGGAAUUCUCGACUUAGUGGCGGACGGGUGAGUAACGCGUGAGCAAUCUGCCUUUAAGAGGGGGAUAACAGUCGGAAACGGCUGCUAAUACCGCAUAAAGCAUUAAAUUCGCAUGUUUUUGAUGCCAAAGGAGCAAUCCGCUUUUAGAUGAGCUCGCGUCUGAUUAGCUAGUUGGCGGGGUAACGGCCCACCAAGGCGACGAUCAGUAGCCGGACUGAGAGGUGGAACGGCCACAUUGGGACUGAGACACGGCCCAGACUCCUACGGGAGGCAGCAGUGGGGAAUAUUGCGCAAUGGGGGAAACCCUGACGCAGCAACGCCGCGUGAUUGAAGAAGGCCUUCGGGUUGUAAAGAUCUUUAAUCAGGGACGAAACAAAUGACGGUACCUGAAGAAUAAGCUCCGGCUAACUACGUG